rnacentral:rRNA from 1 species
UACGGAAGGCAGCAGUGGGGAAUAUUGCACAAUGGGCGAAAGCCUGAUGCAGCUAUGCCGCGUGUAUGAAGAAGGCCUUAGGGUUGUAAAGUACUUUCAUCGGGGAGGAAAAAACAAAACUAAUAAUUUUAUUUCUUGACGUUACCCGAAAAAGAAGCACCGGCUAACUCCGUGCCAGCAGCCGCGGUAAUACGGAGGGUGCUAGCGUUAAUCAGAAUUACUGGGCGUAAAGAGCACGUAGGUGGUUUUUUUAAGUCAGAUGUGAAAUCCCUGGGCUUAACCUGGAACUGCAUUUUGAAACUGAAAUACUAGAGUAUCGUAGAGGGAGGUAGAAUUCUAGGUGUAGCGGUGAAAUGCGUAGAUAUCUGGAGGAAUACCUGUGGCGAAAGCGGCCUCCUAAACGAAUACUGACACUGAGGUGCGAAAGCGUUGGGGAGCAAACAGGGAUUAGAUACCUU